UACAGAGGUCUCAAGCGUUGUUCGGAUUCAUUGGGCGUAAAGGGUGCGUAGGCGGCGCGGUAAGUCGGGUGUGAAAUUUCGAGGCUUAAACUUCGAAACUGCAUUCGAUACUGCCGUGCUUGAGGACUGGAGAGGAGACUGGAAUUACGGUGUAGCGGUGAAAUGCGUAGAUAUCGUAAGGAACACCAGUGGCGAAAGCGGCUUCCUGGUCCGACACCGACGUCAGGCACGAAAGCGUGGG
rnacentral:rRNA from 1 species